UGGGGAAUUUUGGACAAUGGGCGAAAGCCUGAUCCAGCAAUGCCGCGUGUGUGAAGAAGGCCUUCGGGUUGUAAAGCACUUUUGUCCGGAAAGAAAUCCUUGGCUCUAAUACAGUCGGGGGAUGACGGUACCGGAAGAAUAAGCACCGGCUAACUACGUGCCAGCAGCCGCGGUAAUACGUAGGGUGCAAGCGUUAAUCGGAAUUACUGGGCGUAAAGCGUGGGCAGGCGGUUUGCUAAGACCGAUGUGAAAUCCCCGGGCUCAACCUGGGAACUGCAUUGGUGACUGGCAGGCUAGAGUAUGGCAGAGGGGGGUAGAAUUCCACGUGUAGCAGUGAAAUGCGUAGAGAUGUGGAGGAAUACCGAUGGCGAAGGCAGCCCCCUGGGCCAAUACUGACGCUCAUGCACGAAAGCGUGGGGAGCAAAACAGGAUUAGAUACCCUGGUAGUCCACGCCCUAAACGAUGUCAACUAGUUGUUGGGGAUUCAUUCCUUAGUAACGUAGCUAACGCGUGAAGUUGACCGCCUGGGGAGUACGGUCGCAAGAUUAAAACUCAAAGGAAUUGACGGGGUCAUAGCUGUUU
rnacentral:rRNA from 1 species